rnacentral:rRNA from 1 species
AACAGGAUUAGAUACCCUGGUAGUCCACGCCGUAAACGAUGAGUGCUAAGUGUUGGAGGGUUUCCGCCCUUCAGUGCUGCAGCUAACACAUUAAGCACUCCGCCUGGGGAGUACGGUCGCAAGACUGAAACUCAAAGGAAUUGACGGGGACCCGCACAAGCGGUGGAGCAUGCGGUUUAAUUCGAAGCAACGCGAAGAACCUUACCAGGUCUUGACACCUCCUGACCACCCUAGAGAUAGGGCUUUCCCUUCGGGGACAGGAUGACAGGUGGUGCAUGGUUGUCGUCAGCUCGUGUCGUGAGAUGUUGGGUUAAGUCCCGCAACGAGCGCAACCCUUGUCCUUAGUUGCCAGCAUUCAGUUGGCACUCUAAGGAGACUGCCGGCUAAAAGUCGGAGGAAGGUGGGGAUGACGUCAAAUCAUCAUGCCCCUUAUGACCUGGGCUACACACGUGCUACAAUGGAUGGUACAAAGGGCUGCGAUACCGCGAGGUGGAGCUAAUCCCAAAAAACCAUUCUCAGUUCGGAUUGCAGGCUGCAACUCGCCUGCAUGAAGCCGGAAUCGCUAGUAAUCGCAGAUCAGCAUGCUGCGGCGAAUACGUUCCCGGGUCUUGUACACACCGCCCGUCACACCACGAGAGUUUGUAACACCCGAAGUCGGUGAGGUAACCCUUUUGGGAGCCAGCCGCCGAAGGUGGGACAGAUGAUUGGGGUGAAGUCGUAACAAGGUAACC